CAGCGCGCGAGCUUACGCGGAGCGGCGGACAGCUCAGUAAUACAGUUACGAUUUACCCGGGGCAGCAAACGGAUAACCGUGGUAAGCUACGGCUAAGACGUGGACGCGCUGCGCGGGGGUGAGGCCGGCGCAGCGGACAGGACACGGCCGCGGCUAAGUUUCUGGCCUAUCAGCUAUUGGAAGGUAGGGUAAGGGCCUACCUUGGCGAUGACGGGUGACGGGGGAUGAGAGUCCGAUUCCGGAGAGGGAGCCUGAGAAACAGCUCCCACGUCUAAGGAUGGCAGCAGGCGCGAAACUUACCCAAUCUGCGGGAGGUAGUGAAGAGACGUGGGCACGAGGCCGCACACCAAAGACGUGCGGGCCCGACUGGAGGGCAAGUCUGGUGCCAGCAGCCGCGGUAAUUCCAGCUCCAGGAGCGCACAUACACGUUGCUGCAGUUAAAACGUCCGUAGUUGGCGCACGGCACUGUGAGACACGCAUAGCUCAAGAUAUGGAGCAGGCAUGGGACGCCGGCGACACAGGAACAGAUGAUGGCAAUAGGAUUGCGCAGUUAGAGGUGAAAAUCGAGGACCUGCGCAGGACUAUCGGAAGCGAAGGCGAUUGCCAAGGAUGUCUCCGUUGAUCAAGGACUUAAGCCGGAGGAUCAAAGAUGAUUAGAUACCGUCGUAGUUCCGGCUGUAAACGAUGCCGACUAGGUGAGGCCGCGGGGCUGUGCCUUAGGAGAAAUCAAGAGUGUUUGGGCUCUGGGGAUAGUACGGUCGCAAGACAGAAACUUAAAGAAAUUGACGGAAGGACACCACAAGGAGUGGAGUGUGCGGCUUAAUUUGACUCAACGCGGGGCAACUUACCAGGGCACGUGGACGGGCGAUUGGGUGCCUGGGCGGCGACCAAGAUGGUCCACGGAGUGGUGCAUGGCCGUUUGCAACACGUGGGGUGACCUGUCUGGUUAAUUCCGACAACGCGUGAGGCCGCAGACACAAGCGUUGUGUGACGGGCUGUGGCAAGCAGCAGGAGGCGCGGCGAUAACAGGUCAGUGAUGCCCUCGGAUGCUCUGGGCUGCACGCGCACUACACUGCCCGACGCAGACGCGGA
rnacentral:rRNA from 1 species